rnacentral:rRNA from 1 species
AGAAUGAACGUUGGCGGCGUGGAUUAGGCAUGCAAGUCGAACGGGUUCGGUAGCAAUACCGGACCAGUGGCGUAAGGGUGAGUAAGGCGACGGCAACCAACCCCAUGGUUGGGCAUAGCCGCGGGAAACUGCGGGUAAUUCCCAGCGAUGUUCGUACCGGGCAUCCGGUGUGAACCAAAGUUCUGGCGCCGUGGGACGGGCCGUCGUGGUAUUAGGUAGUUGGCGGGGUAAUGGCCCACCAAGCCUCUGAUGCCUACCGGGCGUGCGAGCGUGGCCCGGCACACUGGGACUGAGACACUGCCCAGACUCCUACGGGAGGCUGCAGUCGAGAAUCUUCGGCAAUGGGCGCAAGCCUGACCGAGCGACGCCGCGUGGAGGAUGAAGGCCUUCGGGUUGUAAACUCCUGUCGAGGGGGAGGAAGGGGUAACCUUGACCUAUCCCUGGAGGAAGCACGGGCUAAGUUCGUGCCAGCAGCCGC